UACAGAGGGUGCGAGCGUUAAUCGGAAUUACUGGGCGUAAAGCGUGCGUAGACGGUUAUUUAAGUCGGGUGUGAAAGCCCCGGGCUCAACCUGGGAAUUGCAUUCGAGACUGAAUAGCUAGGGUACGGUAGAGGGAAGUGGAAUUUCCGGUGUAGCGGUGAAAUGCGUAGAUAUCGGAAGGAACAUCAGUGGCGAAGGCGGCUCACUGGUCCAUUACUGACGCUGAGGUGCGAAAGCGUGGGGAGCAAACAGG
rnacentral:rRNA from 1 species